rnacentral:rRNA from 1 species
GGCAAGGGCUAUCCAGAGGAGGACAAGGAGACUCUCAAGAAUGCUUUGGGGGUUCGGUCUGAGGCUCUGAGUGAGCGAUACCUAGGAUUACCAACACUGGUUGGGAAGUCCAAAGAGGGAACAUUUAAAUAUGUGACAGAAAGCUCAAAGGGCAAGGUUAGUGGAUGGAAGGGGCAAGGACUAUCAAAAGCUGCACGUGAGGUAUUGAUUAAAUCUAGGCUACAAUCUGUACCAACCUUCACCAUGAGUUGUUUUCAGCUUACAAAAAAGAUGUGCCGGAAAUUGACUUCGAUCUCUUCAAAAUUC